GCUGGGUGUGGUGGUGCACACCUGUAAUCCCAGCAGCUCAGGAUGCUGAGGCGGGAGGAUUGCAAGUUAGAAAAGACCUAAGCAAUUUGUGAGACCCUGGCUCAA
rnacentral:sRNA from 1 species